rnacentral:rRNA from 1 species
AUGGGUUUUGUGAAACUAAAUGAUGAUGCUUCCUUCGAUCACGAUCAGCUUAGGAGCACGGCAGGGGCUGUCCUGAGAGAUGACAAAGGAAGGUUCAUUGUUGGGGGAAAUUGGAGGAUUGAUUGGUGUGCUAAUGUAUUAACAGCAAAAGCACUAGCUCUAAGGUUUGGCUUAAUCCUUGCACAGAAGGUGGGUUGCAAUCGCCUUAUUGUCAACUCUGAUAAUAUGGAAGUGAUUGACACAAUGAAAAAUGGAGGACAAUCGGCGGGUGCGGCAGUGUUCGAUGAUUGCUAUUUUAUGUCAUGUGAUUUUUCUGUUACUAGGUUUGAACAUUGUAAUAAGGAAGCAAAUAAGGUUGCUCAUGAACUUGCUAAACUAGCGAAAUUUUCUGAGACUAGGGAUUGGUGUGAGGAGCCUGUGGAUGAUACUGUAUCUUUUCUUAUUGAUGAUGUAACUCUUAUUUCCAACUAA